AGAGUUUGAUCCUGGCUCAGGACGAACGCUGGCGGCGUGCUUAACACAUGCAAGUCGAACGGAAAGGCCCUUUCGGGGGUGCUCGAGUGGCGAACGGGUGAGUAACACGUGGGUGAUCUGCCCUGCACUUCGGGAUAAGCUUGGGAAACUGGGUCUAAUACCGGAUAGGACUACAAGGCGCAUGUUUUGUGGUGGAAAGCUUUUUGCGGUGUGGGAUGGGCCCGCGGCCUAUCAGCUUGUUGGUGGGGUGAUGGCCUACCAAGGCGACGACGGGUAGCCGGCCUGAGAGGGUGUCCGGCCACACUGGGACUGAGAUACGGCCCAGACUCCUACGGGAGGCAGCAGUGGGGAAUAUUGCACAAUGGGCGCAAGCCUGAUGCAGCGACGCCGCGUGGGGGAUGACGGCCUUCGGGUUGUAAA
rnacentral:rRNA from 1 species